GAGAGAGGUUCGCUUACACUAGAGACUGCUAAUCUUUAACACCACGGCUAAAAUCCGUGGCUCCCUCG
rnacentral:tRNA from 1 species